CUACGGGUCGCUGCAGUGGGGAAUAUUGGACAAUGGGGGAAACCCUGAUCCAGCAAUGCCGCGUGUGUGAAGAAGGCCUGCGGGUUGUAAAGCACUUUCGGUUGGGAGGACUGCUUCUAGCACUAAUAUUGUUGGAAGUUGACGUUACCUUCAGAAGAAGCACCGGCUAACUCCGUGCCAGCAGCCGCGGUAAUACGGAGGGUGCGAAGCGUUAAUCGGAAUUACUGGGCGUAAAGCGCGCGUAGGCGGCUAGAUCAGUCGGGUGUGAAAGCCCCGGGCUUAACCUGGGAACUGCAUCCGAUACUGUCUAGCUUGAGUACAGGAGAGGAGAGUGGAAUUCCACAUGUAGCGGUGAAAUGCGUAGAUAUGUGGAGGAACACCAAUGGCGAAGGCAGCUCUCUGGCCUGAUACUGACGCUGAGGUGCGAAAGCGUGGGGAGCAAACAGGAUUAGAUACCCCUGUAGUC
rnacentral:rRNA from 1 species